CCGGUCGCCCCCGAGGUUGGCCCCAGCCAGUCGCCCACCCUUGCCGUCAUCCUCGGUCGGCUGGGAGGGAGUUUCCCCUGUCCACAUCUCGAUCUGUUGGAGGUCCACCUAUGAUGAACUCCCCGCCCCGGAUCUGCCCAAUCUGACAUGCGACUCCGUCCAGAUGGCUGUAGAGGGCGAUUGUCGACUGAACCAAAUCCUGGUAUCUACACAUAGGCAGCAAUACAUUUAGGUGAUAGAUUCCGAGUAAGAGAUCAGGCAAUAACAUAGUCCAUGACAUUGUUGCAGCUGCUCGUGUCCAUCCCUAUCUCAGAUGCUUUGAUCUGAACUUGUAUAAACCCCAAGAUGAAUUAUCUGUUAUAGCUACUGGAAGUAGGUGUGAUAUUGACCUAUAUGAGCAACUGUAAACUUUUGAUCAAAUUUCUGAAGAUGCUUGUAUUUUGAUGUUGAAUUCUAGCUAUGUAUGUACUGAAUGAACUUUCAAAGCUCAGUGUGAUAUUUGUAAUAAUUGUUGACAGAUCAAUUUUCAAGCUCCAUUUGUAAUAA